rnacentral:rRNA from 1 species
UAUGUUAUAGAUGGUUAUUGUUGUUAUUUUAAUAUAUUUGAUUGGUAUUAUGAGUGAUUUUUGUAGGGUUUCGAUAGUUUAUGAGGUACUGUUAAGGAAUUAUUUAUUUUUUAUUAAAUUUAGGUUGUUUGAUACCUUUUGUAUUAGGGUUCUUUUAUGUUAAUAUGUAUUGAUAGUUUCUCGAUAAAUAUCGGGCUAUUUUGUUAGUUUAGAUCUCGUUGUAUAGAGUCUUUUAUGGUAAAAUAGUUAUGAAAUAUUAUUCAAGUUAUUUUGUAUCUGGUUUUCUCAGAGGUAUAAUGUGGUGUGUGUUUAUGUUGGAAUUGUGCAGGGAUUAGCUUGUAUAUUGUUUAUAUAAUAUUUUUGUUGUUAUUUAUUUGUGAUGUUGAAAGUUCUUGUUUUUAUGGUGUUAUUACUGAAUAAGUUUUGUUUAUUAUUUUUUUUAUUUAUGUUGUUAUUGGGGAUAUUGCGUUAAUUUUAGUUGCAUGGUUAUAAUGAUGAUAUUAGUAAUUUUGUUAUUUAUUUUUUUUAUUGAUUUGAAUUUGGUCUGGGGUGAGUUAUAGAUAUUGAUUAGUAGUAAAGAAUUCGGCAAAGAUUGACUUUUGACUGUUUAGCAAAAACAUUGUUUUUUGUUUAAAUAAGAAGUAAUUUCUGCCCACUGCUGUUAUGGUAAAGGGCUGCAGUAUUUUGACUGUA